ensembl:lncRNA
GGGAGUCCGAGUCCUCUUCUGGGUGGGGCUCUGGCACCAGCAUCUCCUCGGGUGGGACGGUCACCAGCAGGUACGGGGUGGGGCAGAUGAAGGAGUUCCUGCUGACCACCAACGAUAGGAGUGAGGGUGGAGGACAGCUUCUCCGACGUGGAGAAGUUCGCUCGCUCCGCUCGGCACGGCAGCACCAAGAAAGGAGCUGGAAGUUUCACCCAGCAGGAGGUCUCCAGACUGAGGAGCUACUCGUAAAGAUCCAAAAGGAAGGAGGAAGCACCACUGGGACCGAGUAGCUCGGUAUCCUGCGAGGAGCUACCGGGUGGAACUCCUUAGUGAGCGGGGCUGGAAGCCAUCAGAUGUUUGGUGCCAUGGUGGAUAAAAAGCUGGGGGAAGAGCUUGGAUUUGAAAGCAGCUUGGAUUUGAUGGCACGCACCUUGCAGUGUGUGUUUAGGUGUCUGUGUUUGCCAAUGUGCUGGUAGUUAUUCAUGGUGGCAUUCUUCUACUGUUGGACAGUACGAUUUUUGUUGUUUAAUGUUUUGGUUUUGGGAAAUUCUGUCUUAAUGUAAAGCUAAACGCCUCAUUAAAGCAAAUGUAUGAAUGUAUGAAUUUGGUCAUUCAGGUCGGUGUGACCUGAUAUCUGUUGGUACUUUGUCCUAAACAGCGGUGUGUAGGUUUAAAUUGCAAUUUGAUCGGUUUUGGAAACUGCUUGAAUUUAUCUGGUUGUGUUAUCUUUUUCCCUCGUUCUGUCUGUCUCAUUCAUUAUUAAUCAUCCAACAGUGUCCUGCUCUACUCCCUGUUCAUUAAUUAUGGCUUCGCAGUAGAAAACUAGAAAUCUGGGCCUCAGCCCCCGACAUCGUUGUCUGUGAACAACCUGAUGCACUCAGAAUGAAAUUAACAAGAAAGGGAUAGAAAAGAUCACUCAUACUGUGUAGCAGUAUUUGGAAACAUUAUUGCAGUACCUGACAGCAAACACCACACACGUGAGGUGAGCACAGUGGUAUGUUACUGCCACUACAUAAAAAGUGUAUUUUCCCAUUGUGAUGAAUAAGUUAUUUGAAAUACCACACACAUUACAUUUAUAUCGGACUGAACGGCACCAAACUGCCCCAGGGAGAGGCGCCGAGAUCGGGGCUAAACUAACCUAGGAUUUAAGGCCGCUCCACUUCCUUCCUGGAUAUCGGAGUUCCAGUCACAUAAAAAUAAGAUGGAUGAAAUCAAGUCGGUGACAGCACACAUCUUCCAGAGAUGGAUCAUUUUAUAAUGCCAUCAGUUUGUUGCAUGAGGAAGAUAAAUGAUCCCGGAAUCCGUUGCAAACCUUGUAAAUACAUACACUGAUAAAAUAGAAUGAAAUCGUCUUAUUAAAUACUUUGUUCUUUACAUAGUUGAAUGUGUUGACAACAAAAUUGGAUUCAGGUCUGGGGAACCGGUGGGCCAGUCCAUAGCAUCAAUGCCUUCGUCUUGCAGGAACUGCCGACACACUCCAGCCACAUGAGGUCUAGCAUUGUCUUGCAUUAGGUGGAACCCAGGGCCAGCAUAUGGUCUCACAAGGGGUUUUAGGAUCUUAUCUCGGUACCUAAUGGCAUAGAGGCUACCUCUGGCGAGCACAUCAAGGGCUGUGCCAUGUCAUGAAAUUGAUUGUCAGUGUUGCUUCCUAAGUGGGCAGUUUGAUUUCACAGAAGUGUGAUUGACUUGGAGUUACAUUGUGUUGUUUAAGUGUUCCCUUUAUUUUUUGAGCAGUGCACGUUUUGAAUAAAAAGUACCAUAAAGUCAAUUAAAGAUGGCAUCAGCCAAUUCAAAAAGUUCUUUCCAUGUGAGGCUUUUGCCUUGGAAUGACAUGCGGUGUCCUCACUCCUUCCCUGCAGGGUUCACACACCAAACCCGGACAAUUCCUGAAGGUAACCCCGCCAUUCGGCGGUUACUGUAAUUGCAUUACUGAAAAGUAAAAAGUCAUCACUGCAAGGUCACUAGGAGCAUCCUGAUGUGUUGUCUUCCUACCAGCUCUAUCACAAAGUGCCCCCAGCAAGAGCAGCCUAAAGCCGUAGGGUUGUGGCAUAAAUCAUUUUGUGUCUUCUUAUAAUCUUUAAGUGUGAUAACAAUUCUUAAUAUGAUUUAUUAUUUCAAUGUAGCACUUCUUACAAGCAAUGAUACAUUGAAUAUACGAAUAAAACUUGUUUCAGUCAACGCCUUAAUAUUUAGCCUGCCGUUGCCUAAAAACUCAAAUGACCUCACCUCUUAAUGUUUAAUUUCUUCCUCUCUUACUCACGCGGAAUAAAU